rnacentral:tRNA from 1 species
GGCUCUUAUUGGUGGAUAUUGGUUUUGUAACCGACUGAUUUCUAUCUAAGUUAUUGUUUUUACUUUGGCUGUUAUGGUUCUCAUAAUCGCUUGGUCGCUGGUUCAAGUCCAGCAGGGGCCACCA